GGAGGUCAGGCCCCUGCCCUCCCUCAACCAUUGGACCUGUGCCCCGCCUUAGCACCAUAGGGUUGGACUCACCCCAACUUCUUUCUCCCAACACCUGACCCUCCCUCCUCCUGGUCUCCCUCCACUGAGCCCCUGACACCUCCACAGGGCAGAUUUCCAGGCUGAGAGCUAAGCUGACAGCCAGGCUAGGACCCUGAGCUCUCACCUUACUUCCCUACCUGGCUGGCACUUGCCCUGCCCCAUGCCCAACCCAGCGCCACCCCUACCUCCCAGUCCAUGCAAGAGGUCCGAGUUUCCAAAUUAGGUUUUUGGCCAGGUGCAGUGGCUCACAACUGUAAUCCCAGCACUUUGGGAGGCUGAGGCGAGCAGAUCCCUUGAGCCCAGGGCUUUGAGACUAGCCUGGGUUGAACAUGACAAGACUCCCUGUCUACAAAAAAUACAAAAAUUAGCUGGGCACGGUGGUGCGCAUCUGAAAUCUCAGCUACCUGGGAGGUAAGAUGUGAAGAUUGCUUGAGCCUGGGAGGUCAAGGCUGCAGUGAGCUGUGGUCACCCCACUGCACUCUGCCUGGGCAAUAGAGCGAGAAAAAAAUUUUUUUAAAAUUAGGUUUUCAUAAUUAUCUUUUUCAUCACUAUGAAAGCAAUCCUUCCACACCAAGGGAAACAUUGAGAAAAUACCAAGUUUUAGAAAGGCGAAAUGAAAAUAAAUCUCCUAACUUCCCAUCACCCAUAUAAGCAGUUGGCUUAUAUGUUAUAUCCAACUGCUUCUGUGGAACUGAGGGAAACCCAGAUAACCCCCAUAUGGACUUGGCUCUGAGCCGCUGGGCCACCCUCCCAGCCUGCCGCCACCGAGGCUGGUGCUGCUGGGCCUCACAGUCCAUCCUGGAGUCUGGUUUCCCGGAAUCUGACCUGAUGGAGAAUUUCUCUCCCCCUCAGCCCUUGGCUUGGUGUUAGUUAGGAAAAUAGGCUCCUAAUUCCUACCUUGAGCCCCCUAAAUAUAGGUCUCUUCAUUUAUCAUCACCAAUCAUCCCCCCACAAAAGAGGUAACCAUACCCCCUGGUGGGGGUGGCACCUGGUGGUGGUAAAACAGACCCUGGGUCUUCUGGCCCAGAUAAGGGCUGGCGGGGUCACUUUUAACCAUGCUGCCACCAGGGACUCAGGUCCUGGUGCAACUGUCCCCUCAGUUCCGUGGUCGCGUGGCUGGGCUGUGUGGUGACUUUGAUGGAGAUGCCAGUAAUGAUCUGCGGAGCCGCCAGGGCGUCCUGGAGCCCACAGCUGAACUGGCCGCCCACUCCUGGCGCCUCAGCCCCCUCUGUCCUGAGCCAGGAGACCUGCCACACCCCUGCACGAUGAACGCACAUUGGGCUGGUUGGGCUCGGGCCCGCUGUGGGGCGCUGCUGCAGCCGCUCUUCACAUCAUGCCACGCGGAAGUCCCCCCGCAGCAGCACUAUGAGUGGUGCCUGUAUGACGCCUGUGGGUAAGGAGGGGCCAACCUGGAGUAGGGUAGAGGUGGGGGUGCCGGGACUGAAUGCUUCCUCCCACAGCUGCAACUCAGGGGGUGACUGUGAGUGCCUCUGCUCGGCCACUGCCACCUAUGCAGAUGAGUGUGCCCGGCAUGGGCACCACGUGUGCUGGCGUAGCCAGGAGCUCUGCCCCCUGCAGUGUGAAGGGGGACAGGUAUAUGAGGCCUGUGGCCCCACAUGUCCCCCCACCUGCCAUGAGCAGCAUCCUGAGCCCGGGUGGCACUGCCAGGUGGUGGCCUGUGUGGAGGGCUGCUUCUGCCCCGAGGGGACUCUGCUGCACGGAGGAGCCUGCUUGGAGCCAGCUUCCUGCCCCUGUGAGUGGGGCCGCAACUCCUUCCCGCCGGGGUCUGUGCUGCAAAAGGACUGCGGGAACUGCACGUGCCAGGAAGGUCAAUGGCAUUGUGGGGGUGACGGUGGCCACUGUGAGGAGCUUGUGCCUGCCUGUGCAGAGGGAGAGGCCGUGUGCCAAGAGAAUGGGCACUGUGUGCCCCAUGGGUGGCUUUGUGACAACCAGGACGACUGUGGCGAUGGCUCUGAUGAGGAGGGUUGUGCCGCCCCAGGCUGUGGGGAGGGGCAGAUGACUUGCAGCUCCGGCCACUGCCUGCCCCUGGCCCUGCUCUGUGACGGCCAGGAUGACUGUGGAGAUGGCACGGAUGAGCAGAGCUGUCCGUGCCCCCAGGGCUUGCUGGCCUGUGCCGAUGGACGCUGCCUGCCGCCGGCCCUGCUCUGCGAUGGGCAUCCUGACUGUACGGACGCCGCCGACGAGGAGUCCUGUCUGGGGCAGGUGACCUGCGUCCCCGGGGAGGUGUCCUGUGUCGAUGGCACCUGCCUGGGGGCCAUCCAGCUGUGUGACGGAGUCUGGGACUGCCCAGAUGGAGCCGAUGAGGGGCCGGGACACUGCCCCCUACCUUCUCUGCCCACGCCUCCUGCCAGCACCUUGCCUGGCCCCUCCCCUGGCUCCCUGGACACUGCGUCAAGUCCCCUGGCCAGCGCCAGCCCUGCGCCACCCUGCGGCCCCUUCGAGUUUCGGUGCGGCAGCGGCGAGUGCACCCCGCGGGGCUGGCGCUGCGACCAGGAGGAAGACUGCGCCGACGGCAGCGACGAGCGCGGCUGCGGAGGGCCCUGCGCGCCGCACCACGCGCCCUGCGCCCGCGGCCCUCACUGCGUGUCCCCCGAGCAGCUGUGCGACGGCGUGCGGCAGUGUCCCGACGGCUCGGACGAGGGCCCCGACGCCUGCGGUGAGGCUCCCGCGCCCCCGGCCAUGCGCGGCCCCCCUGGCCAAGCCGGCGGGCCCACCUCUUCCCGAGCGCCAUCCCCACCUUCGCCUCCUGAGGCACAGGGAGAGGGCAGGAAGGGACGGGAGCGGAGGAGGACACAUCUCACGGUGCCCGCAGGCUCCACCCAGCUGCCUCCGUGCCCUGGCUUCUUUCCCUGUGGUGUGGCUCCGGGGCUGUGCCUGACCCCUCAGCAGCUCUGUGAUGGGAUCCCAGACUGUCCCCAGGGCGAGGAUGAGCUGGACUGCGGGGGGCUGCCAGCCCUGGGAGGCCCCAACAGGACAGGGCUUCCCUGCCCAGAAUACACCUCCCCCAAUGGCACCUGCAUAGGCUUCCAGCUGGUGAGGGUGGGAGUGGAUGGAGGAGAUGGCAGUGCCAUGUUGCCUCCCAGCACAAGAGCCCUGACCCCACUCCCUCCCCAGGUGUGUGAUGGGCAGCCUGACUGUGGAAGGCCAGGGCAGGUGGGCCCCUCCCCAGAAGAGCAGGGUUGUGGGGCCUGGGGCCCCUGGAGCCCAUGGGGGCCCUGCAGCCGGACGUGUGGGCCCGGGGGCCAGGGCCGGAGCUGCCGCUGCUCCCCACUCGGCCUCCUGGUGCUACAGAACUGCCCAGGGCCUGAGCACCAGUCUCAGGCCUGCUUCACGGCAGCCUGCCCAGUGGACGGUGAAUGGAGCGCCUGGUCCCCCGGUCUGUGUGCUCUGAGCCGUGCAGGGGCACCAUGACGCGGCAACGGCAGUGCCACCCACCCCAGAAUGGGGGCCGCACCUGUGCUGCACUGCCCGGAGGCCCGCACAGCACCCGCCAGACCAAGCCUUGCCCUCAGGACGGCUGCCCCAAUGCCACCUGCUCUGGGGAGCUGAUGUUCCAGCCCUGUGCCCCCUGCCCACUGACCUGUGAUGACAUAUCUGGCCAGGUCACGUGCCCACCUGAUCGGCCCUGCGGCAGCCCGGGCUGCUGGUGCCCAGAAGGGCAGGUGCUGGGCAGCGAGGGGUGGUGUGUGUGGCCCCGGCAGUGCCCCUGCCUGGUGGACGGUGCCCGCUACUGGCCCGGGCAACGCAUCAAGGCCGACUGCCGGCUCUGCAUCUGCCAAGACGGAUGGCCCCGACGCUGCCGACUCAACCCGGACUGCGCUGUGGACUGUGGCUGGUCCUCCUGGUCACCCUGGGCUGAGUGCCUGGGCCCCUGUGGAAGCCAGAGCAUCCAGUGGUCCUUCCGGAGCCCCAACAACCCCCGCCCCUCCGGCCGAGGUCGCCAGUGCCGUGGCAUCCACCGCAAGGCACGCAGGUGCCAGACGGAGCCCUGUGAGGGGUGUGAGCAUCAGGGCCAGGUCCACCGUGUCGGGGAACGCUGGCGUGGGGGCCCCUGCAGGGUGUGCCAGUGUCUGCACAACCUCACCGCACGCUGCUCACCCUACUGCCCGCUCGGCAGCUGCCCCCAGGGCUGAGUCUUGGUGGAGGGGACGAGAGAAUCAUGCUGCCACUGUGCCCUACCUGGAGAGAACCAGAUGGUCCAGCCCAUGGCCACUCCUGCCGCAGCUCCGGCUCCCAGUCCCCAGAUCAGAUUCCCUUUGGCCACUUACAUUCUGCCUCCGCCAGGAGUCCCCUGCUAUUUUCCCCUGGGGCUGGCGGGACUGGCUGAGGGGAGUCUGCAUGCAUCGUCCCAGCAGCUGGAACACCCCACCCAGGCUGCCCUCCUGGGGGCUCCCACCCAGGGGCCCAGCCCUCAGGGAUGGCACGCUGGAGGGGAUGCUUAUGCCAAGUGGCACACUCGGCCCCAUUACCUGCAGCUGGACCUGCUUCAGCCUCGGAACCUCACUGGCAUCAUAGUGCCGGAGGCUGGCUCCUCCAACGCAUAUGCCAGCAGCUUCUCACUCCAGUUCAGCAGCAAUGGUCUACACUGGCAUGACUAUUGUGACCUCCUGCCUGGCAUCUUGCCCCUGCCCAAGGUAUCACCCGCCCAAGGCCGAUGGGGCCAGCAGCCCACCAUGCCCUUUUGUGGGUUCCAUAGUCUUUGUCCCCAAGGGCCUUCCAGUGUCCCCGAGGGGCAUGGCCUGCAUUCGAUGCUUGUUGAAUACCUGGUGAGUAGCAGGGACUGUGCUCUGUGGAGCCGAGGCUUGGGUGCCACUGUCACAUGGAUGCUGGAAACCAUCCAAGUGGCUUAGACUCAGGGCAGGUAUGUGAAGCCUGCAAGGGAGAGAGGAUGGGGAGACACCAAGUUCACUGAGGGCCUCCGGGAGCCCAGACCCACGCAGGUCUUCGUGGAGAGCAGCCUGGGCACAGCCCUGCCCUCAGGGGGUUUGCAUCCUUCCCGGAGACAAACUGCACGAGGCGGUAGGAAUCAGUCCAUGCUGUGUUAAGUCUUAACUGUUUCAGGAGCACCUGCUCUGUGCCAGGUGCCGAGCCAGGCCCUGGGGACACAGCAGUGAACAGGACCUGGCCUUUGCCCUAGGGGCACCUCCAGCUUAGUGGGAGGAGCUCAGUCCAGGACCAGCCCCCUCCAGCCUUGAGAGGCCCAAAUGCCUACUGCCAGGGUGGGGGGCAUGGCUCUGGGAGGGGCCGUGAAAACUGGGGAAAAAGUGGGGUCACUCAAAGUCAUGAGGUCAGCCUGAAAAAGAGGUGAAGCUUAGUCAUCAGCAUCCUCUGCUGGCAGCUUUUCCCCAGAAACUGGGAUGACCUGGACCCUGCCGUAUGGACUUUCGGCCGCAUGGUGCAGGCGAGGUUUGUCAGGGUGUGGCCCCACGAUGUCCACCACAGCGAUGUCCCCCUGCAGGUGGAGCUGCUGGGCUGCGAGCCAGGUACAGGUUGCGCAGGGGUGGGCAGGGCAGGAGAGAGAGGGGCCAUGGGAGGAGCCCUCAGCCAUACGUCCUCCACACAGGGUCCCCACCGGCACCUCUGUGCCCAGGGGUUGGAUUCCGCUGUGCCAGUGGUGAGUGUGUCCUGAGAGGGGGCCCAUGUGACGGUGCUCUGGACUGCGAGGAUGGCUCGGAUGAGGAGGGCUGUGUGUUGCUGCCUGAGGGCACUGGCAGAUUCCAUUCCACAGCCAAGACCCUGGCCCUCUCCUCUGCCCAGCCGGGGCAGCUGCUGCACUGGCCCAGGGAGGUGAGUGUAGAGCCUUGGGCCCAGAGGGUGGAGUUGGGGGACAGGGACCUCGCCUCACAGCCUCACCAGCCCUGCUCCUGCACCAGCUGGCGGCGUCUCCCCUCUCCGCAGCAUUUCCUCCUGUGUGUUCCCUGGUACUGCUCUCAGGAGCCUUGCCGGUGCCUGGCAGAGGGCUGGGGGCUGGGGCAAUACAGAGCUGCAGAGACGUGCAGGCAGAGCGAGGGCCCAGAGGGGUUUGGGGACAAGAGAAGCCUGCACCCCUGAUAGGGAGCUUAUGCCCACGGGGCAGGCACCAGGGCAUCUGGUGCUCAGAGCCGAAAAGAGCCCUGUGCCCGGGUCCCCAGGGGCUUCCCGGACAAGACUUGAGGGCUGGAGAGGGGUGUCUAUAGUGUGGAGAAGGUGCGGAGCACCUUCCCACCUGGAAUGGCCUGCUCAGCAACCCAGAGUGUGUGGGUGGGGUAGGGGGUAGGGGGUGGACAUGUGCAUUGGGUGGGGGAAGGGGAGUUUGAGGGGCAAGAGCUGAAAUGGAUCACCCUGGUGGGCUGCUGAGAAUAAGGUCCCUGAGCUCCUUGAGGGCAGUGGGCUGGUGCCUGGAAGCGCAGUUGCAUACUCAGCUCUGCCCUGGGCUGCGGGGGAGGAAGAUGGACAGGAAGCAGUGCUGGGACAGGAGCGCCCAGGCUGUAUCCUCAGGGGAUGGGAGCUGCCCUCAGGGCCGGGGGCUGUGCAGGGUGCUGAGCCCUCUCCCUCUGCAGGGCCUGGUAGAGACUGAGCACUGGCCUCCCGGGCAGGAAUCCCCCACGUCCCCGACAGGUGUGUGCACAGACUCCAGGCCUUCUCCCCAAACUCUUGUCCCACCUGUUCUUCCAGAGCCAGGGGCAGUUACAUCUCAGGGGUUCAAAUCCCCUGACCCCUGACUUCUCCACAACUGAGAGAGUCACGGGGUUGGCUCAGGGAGCAGACACUGGUCACUUUGGACAUGGCCAGGUCCUGCCCCUGCCCACCCCCUGGGAUUCCAAGGUAUGUGGCUGUAGGUUGGCGGGGCAGGUAGCUCCAGGCCAGCUCCCAGGACUGAGCCGGUGCCCUGUAAUGUGGCUGCCUCCCCAGAUGCCUGGUCAGGACAGGUCUCCCCCAUGGCGGUGGGAGGCCACUUGGCUCCAGCCUGCACUCCCUCUGCUCACCAUCCAUGGAGCCAGGCCCCCGUUUCUGAAGCGUUUGCUGGCAUCAAAUGUCUCUUAAGUGGGCACGGGGGUUGGAUGUGGUCACCAAGUUGGCAUGCUCCUAUAUAAGGAAGGAAGAGGCUCUGCCUGGUUGUGAACCGGCUUCCCUGGAGCUGCCUGAUUAUUCACCUGUGUGCUAGCCAGCAGAGAGCUGCCUCCUGGAGGGCCUGCUGUCCUGCGGGGAUUGGGGGGUGGUAAGAGGGUUUUUGGUGUGGGUGAAUUCUUGCCCUCAUUUCUAGCCCCUAUGGGAGGGAUCUGGGUGAGGCUUGGGGCAGCAGGGGCUGGAGAGGAAGGAGGGUGAGGGCACCAGGUCUGCUCUUUCAUUCUGGCUCAUCCUCCCCUGGGCCUCAGCUUUUCCCCAUCUGUGACACUAGGAGGCCUUAUAGACAACUGUGACCCCUCCCUGUGAAUUCUGAUGGAAGUUAUUCAGAACCUGGCCGGACUGUUUCUGUGUCUUUUGUGAAAAGCAGACAAAGCAAUUGAUGCCACCCCUCAGAUCCAUAACAUGCAGACCCAUGGGAUACAUUAUAAUUUCAUUCUCAGUCUGGUU
rnacentral:sRNA from 1 species